UAUCACAUGACCACUUCCCGGAAGCGCAGCAGACCCGCUCAACUUCAUCCUGGGUUGAGGCGGAGUAGAACUUCCAGAAUUAUGGCGGAGUCCGGGCUGAGGCAGGACCCGCAGAGCACAGCUGCAGCCACUGUGCUAAAGCGGGCCGUAGAACUAGAUUCGGAGUCGCGGUAUCCGCAGGCUCUGGUGUGUUACCAAGAGGGGAUUGAUCUGCUCCUGCAGGUUCUGAAAGGUACCAAAGAUAAUACUAAGAGAUGUAAUCUCAGAGAAAAAAUUUCCAAAUACAUGGACAGAGCGGAAAACAUAAAGAAGUACUUGGACCAAGAAAAAGAAGAUGGAAAAUAUCACAAGCAAAUUAAAAUAGAAGAGAAUGCAACAGGUUUCAGUUAUGAGUCACUUUUUCGCGAAUACCUUAAUGAGACAGUUACAGAAGUUUGGAUAGAAGAUCCUUAUAUUAGACAUACUCAUCAGCUGUAUAACUUUCUUCGAUUUUGUGAGAUGCUUAUUAAGAGACCAUGUAAAGUAAAAACUAUUCAUCUUCUCACCUCUCUGGAUGAAGGCAUUGAGCAAGUGCAGCAAAGUAGAGGGCUGCAAGAAAUAGAAGAGUCACUCAGGAGUCAUGGAGUGCUGUUGGAAGUUCAAUACUCUUCUUCAAUACAUGACCGAGAAAUUAGGUUCAACAAUGGAUGGAUGAUUAAGAUUGGAAGGGGACUUGAUUAUUUUAAGAAACCACAGGUUCAGGUGCUGAUAAUAUUGAAUCUGAAAAAUUUUAGACUCAAACUAAUUUGCUAAGCUGUAUCAUAUGGAAAUUCAGGGUCUCAGGAAAACACUUGAACAAGUGUUGGCCUGAUCCGAAGUUCCUUUCUGCAGAGUAUCUUUGCUUAUCUUGCCCAGUACCCGAUGCCACGUGGAAAUGGAGUGGCUCUUAAUUAAGACAGGAUUUCACCAUGUUGCCUAGGCUGGUCUCAAACUCCUGGGCUCAAGCAAUCCUCCCGCCUUGGCCUCCCAAAGUGCUGGGAUUACAGGCACGAGCCACUGCACUCAGCCACAUUACCUAUAUCUAAAAGCCAAAUUAUGUAGAAUUCACAAGUAACAAAUGUUCAUCGAGAAAAAUGAGAAAAUACAGACAAGCAAGAAGAAAAAAAUAAAAGCAUUGAUAGUCCUAAUCACAAUU